GGUUUUCCGGCCUGCUACCACAAUACAAACACAACCCCUCUCUUCUGCGGUAUUGCUUUUCUGCCUCGAUUAAUCUGGUUGUACCUACUUGCAUUGGUUCUGGUUAAGCCAGGGCCAUAGAAUCUGCUAUAUUAAAGGAGGGUGCUAACUGGAUCUGCGCUCUUUUUGGUCUAUCUCUGGUGUUCUGUCUAAACCGAGGACGUUCAUCUAUACCAAAAAGAUAAGAUAUCGGGUUUUCUGGUAACUCUCUAGUCGUGACCACAGCCAGAAUGGUUUCUGAAAGGCCAUUAAGGAAUACAUCAACAAAGGCCUGGUUAUUCCAUCUGACCUCUGUUGCUGGGGACCUGAAUUCAAGAGCGUAUUCCACUAAUGCCUUGUUCCCUUGUCUAAGACGUAAAAGAGUCCAAGCAGCAUUUGCCUUCCUACCAGGAGGGUCAAAGGUUCUACGAAAUACCUCCAUAAAGGCUACAUAAUUAUACACCAGGGAAUCUUCAUGUUCC